rnacentral:rRNA from 1 species
GACGAACCGUGCGAACGUUGUUCGGAUUCACUGGGCUUAAAGGGCGCGUAGGCGGGCCCGCCAGUCCGGGGUGAAAUCCUCCGGCUCAACCGGAGAAUGGCCUUGGAUACUGCGGGCCUCGAGGGAGGUAGGGGUCGACGGAACUUCGGGUGGAGCGGUGAAAUGCGUAGAUAUCCGAAGGAACGCCGGUGGCGAAAGCGGUCGACUGGACCUCUGCUGACGCUGAGGCGCGAAAGCCAGGGGAGCGAACGGGAUUAGAAACCCCCGUAGUCC